UUUUUCAGCUUUCGUUUCUUAUUUUCCCCUCACAGCUUCCGUUUCGGCUUUCAAUUCAUCAAUUCAUUCUACAUCCUUUAAUUACCUAAACGCGUCCAUGUGACGCUCAAGUUUGGGCAGCCGCUGUGAAUUCUCCACCAUCGAUCUCUCUCACCUACAAUUUUUCCCCUGUGCGUUCCCUCUGUCGUGGUUGUUGAUGCUGCGGAGAGCGAACUGAUCUUCAAAUCUCUGGUGAAGCUACUGUAGUUAAUUAAUUUCAUUCCUUUCGUCAGAUUUAUGGGUUGGUUCUUCUGCAAAAUGUAAAGCUCAAUUCUGGGUUGGUUCUUAUGCAAAAUGUAGAACUCAAUUGGUGCAUGUCUUCUACUUCUCCGGAUGUGACUCUUAUGGUAUUUGUUGGAAGGAGACCUCUACUGCCAUCGAUUUAACUGAAUUCAUUUUUCAGUCAUGCUUAACAUAUGCUCUCAUGUAUAUAUUAUUUGUUCCAGGAGGAUGCCUAUAUUUUCAUAGAUAUAUUGUUCGUUGCUUUGAAUUGAAACCACAUAGCAUUUUCCUUUGAGAGAGAAGAUUGGAAAUUUGGCGUAGUAGAACACUAAUCUGUGGUGUUAGAUUCAUUUUUCUGUCUAAUACAGUGUUAGAUUCAUUCUACUAUCAAUCUGUUUGGUCAGAUUUAUCCUGUGUAGCCCAUACACUUAUUUUUGUUUCAGACUUACACACUAGGAGCUUAGGUGGAAGCUAGGUAUCAGUACAUGUACUAGCUCCAAGGAUUCAGUGGUGUUUCUUCUGGCGCUUAAUUCGGUCCAGUAUAUGCAUCGAUUAAAGGAUACUAAUGGAAAGUAGUGGUUUGAAGCUGUUUGACGAUGCAGUUAGGAAACUUUGUUAUUCUACUCCUCCAAUCCAGCCAACACAAGAACCUAUGCACCGGUCUAGGAACUAACGAUUUUUGUGAGAUAGUUUGGACUCAACUACUGAUGUGGUGAUAAUCAACACAAUGUCCUGAAUUUUCAGAGAGUUUUGAGGUCAAUGGUUUUAAUUGUACAAAUAGAUGGAAUAUGGGGCUGCAAGUAUUGACCAGCUUAUUGUGGAGUCCCAAAGGUAAAUGCUAGAUUAUUUUUACAUGUUUCACUACUAUUUUAUUUUCACAUGAAAUUGUUCUUAAAAUUAAUUACUUAAAAUGAUGUGUGUACUGCCACUUCAUUUAUGCAUUUUGCCACAAAGCAACAUAGUCUGCUUGUGAAGGUGACUCUACUUUGGAUCCCAUUGAAUUUCAGAGAGUUGUUGAACUCCUGAAUUCAGAGUUGUCUCCUUGCUCAAGUUGAAACCCAAGGAAUUCUGGAAACCGGGUUUGUACUUGCCUUUAUGUUUAAAAUCCGCCAUUGAUUCUGCAUAACAUGUUCUAUUUGAUUCUGCAGAACAUACUUCAAUGGAGACCGUUUGUGCAUCUAAAGAGAACCAUGUUAGUACAAAAUUCACUCAGAUCCAUUACUCAAUGUAUAAAAAUUGUAGCUUUCAGAAUUUCUCAUAUAGUACUCCCCUCAAUUUGGCACACAUGUACAACUUAAUCCAUAAAUGAGAAAGUCUUAUGUCAAUUUUGUUCAAUCCAUAAGAAGCAUGUACUCCGUGAGUUAGUGUUUGAAACUUUUAUUGAUAU